AGAACAUUUUGGGGAUCUAUGCCAAAUCUGGGGCAACAGCAGUUGCUUAAUAAUGCUUUGGAUGUCAGAAAGUUUCCAGAUGAGCAACUCACAACUGUAUACAACAUAACCCUAACACGAUCAGACCUGUGCUCUCUAGGCCUGGAAAAAGACAUAGAGGGAACGGUUCUCAACUGUUGCCUUAAAGUGCUAGAGACCAUAGCAAAAUCACAGGUGAUAGAGUCUGUAUUUUGUGCUCAGAUUGAUUAAGCUGCUUAAAGGGAUAGCUUAAA